rnacentral:rRNA from 1 species
GGCUCAGAAUGAACGCUGGCGGCGUGCCUAACACAUGCGAGUCGGAUGUGCCGCAAGGUGCAUGGCAGACGGGUGAGUAACGCGUGGAAAACCUACCUCUUUGUGGGGAAUAACGCUCCGAAAGGAGUGGUAAUACCGCAUGAGACCGUAAGCUGGGAUGCUUACGGUGAAACCUGGGGACCGCAAGGCCUGGGGCAGGGAGAGGGUUCUGCGUCUGAUUAGCUAGUUGGUGAGGUAACGGCCCACCAAGGCUUCGAUCAGUAGCCGGCCUGAGAGGGUGAUCGGCCACACUGGAACUGAGACACGGUCCAGACUCCUACGGGAGGCAGCAGUGGGGAAUUUUGCGCAAUGGGCGAAAGCCUGACGCAGCAACGCCGCGUGGGUGAUGAAGGUCUUCGGAUCGUAAAACCCUGUCGUCGGGGACGAAGGUGGCCAUUUUAAUAGAGUGGUUACUUGACGGUACCCGGAGAGGAAGCCCCGGCUAACUCUGUGCCAGCAGCCGCGGUAAUACAGAGGGGGCAAGCGUUAUUCGGAAUUAUUGGGCGUAAGGGGUGCGCAGGCGGUGUUUUAAGUGAGAUGUGCAAUCCCCGGGCUUAACCUGGGAACUGCAUCUCAGACUGGAACGCUAGAGUACUGGAGAGGGUGGUAGAAUUCCACGUGUAGCGGUGAAAUGCGUAGAGAUGUGGAGGAAUACCAGUGGCGAAGGCGGCCACCUGGACAGUAACUGACGCUGAGGCACGAAAGCAUGGGUAGCAAACAGGAUUAGAUACCCUGGUAGUCCAUGCCUUAAACGAUGAACACUUGGUGUGGUGGGAGUUGACCCCUGCCGUGCCGUAGCUAACGCGAUAAGUGUUCCGCCUGGGGAGUAC